rnacentral:rRNA from 1 species
GGUCAGCGGUAUUCCUGGGGUAGGGGCGAAAUCCAUUGAUCCCAGGAGGACCACCAGUGGCGAAGGCUGCUGACUUGAACACGCCUGACGGUCAGGGACGAAAGCUGGGGUAGCGAAUCGGAUUAGAUACCCGAGUAGUCCCAGCCGUAAACGAUGCAGGCUAGGUGUUGGAUUGGCCACGUGCCAGCUCAGUGCCACAGGAAGCCAUUAAGCCUGCCGCCUGGGAGUACGCCGCAAGCU